UCAUCGAAGUGAUACAUCAUACAAAAAUCAAAAAAAUUUCUUCCCUCUUAGUUUGAUAUCCAAAACAAAGAACAAAUCCGAACAAAUAACUGGAGCUUCAGAGGUUGAUAAAUGAUCAAGUCACAAAGUUUGUCAUGGAGUACGCACUAAGAAAAUAAUAAAUAAAGAAAAAUAUUUCUUCUCCUGACAAGAUCCAAACAGAGGAGGGUUUUUUUUUUCCCCCCGCGUGGGGGUUGGCCGGGGGCGAGAGAGAGAGAUUAGGGCCUCCAAACUCUAGGGAUUAAAGCUCCCCGUUUCACAUGAAUCGCAUCACAGAUUCUAGACAAAAAAAGAAAAAAAAUCACAAACACAUCAAACGCACUCAACACCAUAAAGCAGUUCUCCAUCUAACAGAAAACAAAAAGGAAGAUCAAGAAAAUGCAUGAAGGUUAAAAGGGUAAAGAAGGAGAGAUGAAAAGACGAAGGCAGAUGAGGAGACUGACCUCCGAUGCCGAGAUUGGCGGCGAGGAGAAGCGGCACGAUGCGACGAAGGAAGCCCUUCUUCGCCGCAGAUGGAGGCGGAGGAGUCGAGGCAGCACUAGAAGAAGACAUGGACGACGAGGAGGAGGCAACGAGACUCGGGUUGGGGAGUAGGAGGCCCGCUUCGACUUUCCUCGCUGCAGCAAAGGGAACCAAGAUCUAUCAAGCUUCUUUUCCUCCGCAGAGAGGCACUUCUGCCGGCCAUCGGGGUUCUCUCUCUCUCUCUAUAUAUAUAUAUAUACAUGGUUAGGAGGAAAAAUAACUUUAAAUACUGAA
rnacentral:lncRNA from 1 species